rnacentral:rRNA from 1 species
CAAUAGCGUAUAUUAAAGUUGUUGCAGUUAAAAAGCUCGUAGUUGGAUUUCUGAUCGAGACAUCAGGUCGGGUCCGAGAGGAUCAUGUACUUUGAUUUUGUUUUGAUCAUCCUUGGGGAGAGCAUUUCUGGCAUUCAGUUGUCGGGAUUGGGAUCCUCAUCGUUUACUGUGAAAAAAUUAGAGUGUUCAAAGCAGGCCUCGGCCUCUGAAUACAUUAGCAUGGAAUAAUAAGAUAGGACUUUGGUGGUCUAUUUUGUUGGUUUGCACGCCAAAGUAAUGAUUAAUAGGGAUAGUUGGGGGUAUUCGUAUUCAAUUGUCAGAGGUGAAAUUCUUGGAUUUAUGGAAGACGAACUACUGCGAAAGCAUCUACCAAGGAUGUUUUCAUUAA